GUUGUCGGAUUCACUUCAAUCCAUGUGUAUUGGUGUGGGUUGGGAUGAAAUUUAGUUCAAGUUCCAGAAUAAAAUUUAGUUCAAGUUCCACUCCAAUCCACCUCAACACAUGUGGAUUGAUGUGAAUCCGACU
rfam:Sorghum bicolor cultivar BTx623 chromosome 2, whole genome shotgun sequence.